AUGGGGAAUAACUAGUCGAAAGAUUAGCUAAUACCGCAUAAGACCACAGGAUCUGAGGAUCUAGAGGUCAAAGGAGCAAUUCGCUCUAAGAUGAGCCCGCGUCAGAUUAGCUAGUUGGUGAGGUAACGGCUCACCAAGGCAUUGAUCUGUAGCUGGUCUGAGAGGAUGAUCAGCCACACUGGAACUGAGACACGGUCCAG
rnacentral:rRNA from 1 species